UACGUAGGGCGCAAGCGUUGUCCGGAAUUAUUGGGCGUAAAGAGCUCGUAGGCGGUUUGUCGCGUCUGCUGUGAAAUCCCGAGGCUCAACCUCGGGCCUGCAGUGGGUACGGGCAGACUAGAGUGUGGUAGGGGGAGACUGGAAUUCCUGGUGUAGCGGUGGAAUGCGCAGAUAUCAGGAGGAACACCAAUGGGCGAAGGCAGGUCUCUGGGCCACAACUGACGCUGGAGGAGCGAAAGCGUGGGGAGCGAACAGG
rnacentral:rRNA from 1 species